rnacentral:rRNA from 1 species
AGGGUGACAGCCCCGUACACAAAAAUGCACAUGCUGUGAGCUCGAUGAGUAGGGCGGGACACGUGGUAUCCUGUCUGAAUAUGGGGGGACCAUCCUCCAAGGCUAAAUACUCCUGACUGACCGAUAGUGAACCAGUACCGUGAGGGAAAGGCGAAAAGAACCCCGGCGAGGGGAGUGAAAAAGAACCUGAAACCGUGUACGUACAAGCAGUGGGAGCACAGAGCAAUCUGUGUGACUGCGUACCUUUUGUAUAAUGGGUCAGCGACUUAUAUUCUGUAGCAAGGUUAACCGAAUAGGGGAGCCGAAGGGAAACCGAGUCUUAACUGGGCGUUAAGUUGCAGGGUAUAGACCCGAAACCCGGUGAUCUAGCCAUGGGCAGGUUGAAGGUUGGGUAACACUAACUGGAGGACCGAACCGACUAAUGUUGAAAAAUUAGCGGAUGACUUGUGGCUGGGGGUGAAAGGCCAAUCAAACCGGGAGAUAGCUGGUUCUCCCCGAAAGCUAUUUAGGUAGCGCCUCGUGAAUUCAUCUCCGGGGGUAGAGCACUGUUUCGGCAAGGGGGUCAUCCCGACUUACCAACCCGAUGCAAACUGCGAAUACCGGAGAAUGUUAUCACGGGAGACACACGGCGGGUGCUAACGUCCGUCGUGAAGAGGGAAACAACCCAGACCGCCAGCUAAGGUCCCAAAGUCAUGGUUAAGUGGGAAACGAUGUGGGAAGGCCCAGACAGCCAGGAUGUUGGCUUAGAAGCAGCCAUCAUUUAAAGAAAGCGUAAUAGCUCACUGGUCGAGUCGGCCUGCGCGGAAGAUGUAACGGGGCUAAACCAUGCACCGAAGCUGCGGCAGCGACGCUUAUGCGUUGUUGGGUA